rnacentral:tRNA from 1 species
CAAAUUAGAGCUUGUUAAAGUUUUCCAUUUACAUUGGAAAGAAAUUAUAUUAUAUAAUUAAUUUGA